rnacentral:lncRNA from 1 species
GUCAGAUACAAGAUGGUAGAAUGGAUACACAAAAGUGAACUUUGGGAAUCAAGAGGUGGCCAAAUAGCAACCUGUGGGUUAGCUACCAGCAAACGUCUACUCUUGUGUUGGAUUCCCAACAUGGUAAGACUAUUUAGAUAAAGAUCGUAUUUAGAUAAAGAUUGCUUUCUGUUUCUGUUUUUACCAGCAGAGGUAAAUAUCAUUAAGAAUGUAAACAAUACUUCUCAAAGUAAUGUGUUCCCCAAACAAAUACAAAUGAUGCUUUUAAAUAAAUGACUGAGCUGGGCAUGGCGGUACACUCGGGAGGCUGAGGCAUUUGGAGGCAGGACAGAUACCCUUAGGUUUAAUCUCCUAGCACCUCCCUCAAAAAUAAAUAAAUAAAAAUGAGACUUUAGUAUUGCCUGGCAAUUUGAAUUACCCACUUUCUUUUUUAAGACAUGGCCACUUUCUUUUUUAAAUUUAUUUUUACUAUUUUCUUUUCUUCUUUCUUCUUCCUUUUGUUUGGUUGUUUCUUUCUUUUUAGGGCCUUUGUACUGAACCCCCUUAUUUGGAAACAGUAUCUCAUCAAGUUGCCCAGGCUGGCCUUGAACUUGCACUCUUUCUGCCUCAGUCUACUGAAUAAUGCACCACCUCCCCUGGCUGCCUUUGGGAUUUUUCAACUGGUCUGUCCUCGAGCCAAGGGUGACACCCAGUGCAAGGCCAGCGAGGGUCUGUAAGAGGAUGAUGAUCAGUGAAUGGAUUAAGUGGUGUUAAUGGAUGGCACCUGGUGAGCGUGGAAUGUUUGUCCCUUGCCAAUGGUGGUGGAUGAGACCUGUGUGGAACAGGUCACGUGAGAC